rnacentral:rRNA from 1 species
UGGGGAAUUUGGACAAUGGGCGAAAGCCUGAUCCAGCAAUGCCGCGUGUGUGAAGAAGGCCUUCGGGUUGUAAAGCACUUUUGUCCGGAAAGAAAUCCUUGGCUCUAAUACAGUCGGGGGAUGACGGUACCGGAAGAAUAAGCACCGGCUAACUACGUGCCAGCAGCCGCGGUAAUACGUAGGGUGCAAGCGUUAAUCGGAAUUACUGGGCGUAAAGCGUGCGCAGGCGGUUUGCUAAGACCGAUGUGAAAUCCCCGGGCUCAACCUGGGAACUGCAUUGGUGACUGGCAGGCUAGAGUAUGGCAGAGGGGGGUAGAAUUCCACGUGUAGCAGUGAAAUGCGUAGAGAUGUGGAGGAAUACCGAUGGCGAAGGCAGCCCCCUGGGCCAAUACUGACGCUCAUGCACGAAAAGCGUGGGGAGCAAACAGGAUUAAAUACCCUGGUAGUCCACGCCCUAAACGAUGUCAACUAGUUGUUGGGGAUUCAUUUUCCUUAGUAACGUAGCUAACGCGUGAAGUUGACCGCCUGGGGGAGUACGGUCGCAAA